GCUUGCUUUGACGGAACAUAUACUAGAAUUGGGAUGAUACAGAGAAGUUUAACAUGGCUCAUAUGCAAGAAUGGCAUGCAAAUUUAUAAAGCAUUCAAAAUUUUU
rfam:Cuculus canorus isolate BGI_N303 unplaced genomic scaffold scaffold118, whole genome shotgun sequence.